GUAACUUACGAAUCGCAUGGCCUUGUGCCGGCGCAUGGUUCAUUCAAAUUUCUGCCCUAUCAACUUUCGAUGGUAGGAUAGUGGCCUACCAUGGUUUCAACGGGUAACGGGGAAUUAGGGUUCUAUUCCGGAGAGGGAACCUGAGAAACGGCUACCACAUCCAAGGAAGGCAGCAGGCGCGCAAAUUACCCAAUCCCGACACGGGGAGGUAGUGACAAUAAAUACUGAUAUAGGGCUCUUUUGGGUCUUGUAAUUGGAAUGAGUACAAUUUAAAUCCCUUAACGAGGAACAAUUGGAGGGCAAGUCUGGUGCCAGCAGCCGCGGUAAUUCCAGCUCCAAUAGCGUAUAUUAAAGUUGUUGCAGUUAAAAAGCUCGUAGUUGAACCUUGGGCCUGGCUGAUCGGUCCGCCUCACCGCGUGCACUGGUUCGGCCGGGCCUUUCCUUCUGGGGAGCCGCAUGCCCUUCACUGGGUGUGUCGGGGAACCAGGACUUUUACUUUGAAAAAAUUAGAGUGUUCAAAGCAGGCCUAUGCUCGAAUACAUUAGCAUGGAAUAAUAGAAUAGGACGUGUGGUUCUAUUGGUAGGUUUCUAGGACCGCCGUAAUGAUUAAUAGGGAUAGUCGGGGGCAUCAGUAUUCAAUUGUCAGAGGGUGAAAUUCUUGGGAUUUUAUUGAAGACUAACUACUGGCGAAAGCCAUUUUGCCAAAGGGAUGUCUUCCAUUAAAUCAGUGAAACGCAAAGUUAAGGGGGAUCCGAAAGAACGAUCAGGAUAACC
rnacentral:rRNA from 1 species